AAGUAGAUUAAAGGAGAGAUGGUUGGCAUCUCCUCUGACUGGGUCGGGAAGAGCUUUCGGGUUUACCACAUAACUCUAUAGUCUAU